rnacentral:rRNA from 1 species
GACGAACGCUGGCGGCGUGCUUAACACAUGCAAGUCGAACGGUAAGGCCCUUCGGGGUACACGAGUGGCGAACGGGUGAGUAACACGUGGGUGAUCUGCCCUGCACUUCGGGGUAAGCCUGGGAAACUGGGGCUAAUAACGGAUAGGACCCCGGGAGGCAUGUCCUGGGGUGGAAAGCUGUUGCGGUGUGGGAUGGGCCCGCGGCCUAUCAGCUUGUUGGUGGGGUGAUGGCCGACCAAGGCGACGACGGAUGGCCGGCCUGAGAGGGUGACCGGCCACACUGGGACUGAGAUACGGCCCAGCCUCCUACGGGAGGCAGCAGUGGGGAAUAUUGCACAAUGGGCGCAAGCCUGAUGCAGCGACGCCGCGUGAGGGAUGACGGCCUUCGUGUUGUAAACCUCUUUCAGCACCGACGAAGCGCAAGUGACGGUAGGUGCAGAAGAAGGACCGGCCAACUACGUGCCAGCCGCCGCCGUAA